UGGGGAAUAUUGCACAAUGGGCGGAAGCCUGAUGCAGCAACGCCGCGUGUGUGAAGAAGGCCUUCGGGUUGUAAAGCACUUUUGUUGGGGAAGAAAAGCAGUCAAUUAAUACCUGAUUGUUCUGACGGUACCCAAAGAAUAAGCACCGGCUAACUACGUGCCAGCAGCCGCGGUAAUACGUAGGGGGCAAGCGUUAAUCGGAAUUACUGGGCGUAAAGCGUGUGCAGGCGGGUCGGAAAGAGAGGCGUG
rnacentral:rRNA from 1 species